GGCCGGCUAGCUCAGUUGGUUAGAGCGUGGUGCUAAUAGUCUGCUUCCUUUGGAGUGACUUGUUACGCCAAGGUCGUCGGUUCGAUCCCGGCGUUGGCCA